AGGUAGGUCACUUUUUUUCGUACAUUGCCUACCACACUGGCUUGUUUAAAUUGUUUGUAUUCUUCGUGUUGUUCAAAGUUCUAACGUGACUGAAAUAUCUACCCUAUGUGGGAUACUUGAUUUCAUCUACAUCAUUGUUUUGUUCGUAAAUUUGAGCUAAUUGCUCGAAGUUUUUCUGCAUGCACAUUCAUACAUAAAAAGAUUCAUCAACUUAUGAUAUACACCUCUAUAAAUGUACCGCGUCUUGAAAAUAUUGGUCUAAUAAAAAUAAAAACUAAUUUUGCUGCGAGUUUGCACCCGCUCCCCAUCUUCAUGUAUGUUACUGUGUUUGGUAGAUUCCAGUCUUAGAUGCUUAUGAUACUUCCUUCUCUAUUUUAUUAUGUCUUGGCUCUUUGAAAUUGGAGCUGGUUCUGUGGCAUGUCUUGGCGCUUGAUUGACUUGCUUGGAUGUUGUUUCUUGGUCGGGUUUUUCCUGGAAAUGGGAGUUUUAUAUAGAAGCCGAAUGGUGAAAGGAGCAGCAGCCCUGUGCAGCUUUCCAAGGUUAUUAUUAUUUUUUAUUUUUUUUUAUGAUCUGUCUCAGAAAGUCAAUGCAAGUACUUGCUUAUAUGAUUCUUCAUUUUGAUAGUAGUUUUUUUGUGCUUGAUCAGUUUUUAGGGCGCAACAAAGAUGAUGGUGUCCGUCGCAGUGCCGUAUCGGGCAAGAAGGUAUUAAUGUAGUAUUUGACAGUUAUCUGUUUCUUGGGUGUUGUUAUUUGCAGUAGCAAUAUUGAUUAUUCUUUUUGUGUCGUUGUAGAUUCUUCUCAAACUUGAUAAAACAAAGGAAGAUAAGGAGGCAGAGAGCAAGAGAAAUGAACUGCUGAACUUUUUAAAUGCUAGUUUUGAUUAGCACUGAGAAGGUAUGGAUUUGUUAAGAGGGUACAUCAAAGUCAAAAACGAACCAAUUUUACUUGGGUGCAUAAUUAUUUUGUUAUUAUCAGAAUCAAGCAAUCUACAAUUUAGACGGGUGGGGUGCGGUAAAAUUGUGCUUACAAUUGAAAGACUGCAACCAAGUUUGUUCAACAUGUGUGGUUUACAGUCAAUGGUUUCCUCUAUUGUGGAUUUUGUUAUGAGCUUUUGUAAGAUGACAACCUUUUGACCUUGCCAGAUUCAUUGAGUUUAGUCGGUCAUUGUUUUAUGUGCCGUUUUUUUCAAUAGUUUUCCCCUCUAUUGUUAUUCUGGGCUCAUGUGACUGAAUUGUCAAAUUUGCAUUUGAAUUACAUAUUCUGAUACAUAUGGGUUUUAGUUUUGAUUUGUUGUUCUUUAUCAUUACAUCAUUUGUUUGCACCAAGUACCAACUCUAGGAUCCUUGUUGAAACAUAUGGUAUGCCUAUGCCUUGUUGGAAUGGAGCAACCUCUCCUCUAUAUGUCUGCUUACGUCGAAACGUUUUUGGGAAAUGUUAACGAGUGUCCUAAAGACACUUUUAACAACCUUAGCUCAUGCAUUCAAUGCUUGGAAAUUGAAGUAUGACUUUUCCGAUAGGUAUUUUCUUAAUUUGGAAUUAUUAAAGAGCUCUUGGGGCACUCAUUAGCAAAGACCCAAAUUUUUUUAAGAGAUGGUUGUAAAUACAAUUGAUUAGGUUUUUUCAGGGUGGGGUUGGGAGCUAUGCUUCUAAAGAUUUGGCAAAAUUAGAAGAGAUCGAUGGGGGGGCUUUGAUGCUCAUGGUGUCUUGUAUGUAUCAACUGGUGAAUUAAAACAUAUUUUAUUCUUGUUGCAGGCAUCCAGCCUUCAUUGAUUUUUUUUUUUAUUCACGGGUUAACUUGAACUAAUCAUGUGUUUUUUUUUUUUUACCAUGAAUGCUUAUUCCUUCUUGUUGAAAUUGUGCGGUAACACAAUCUAGAAAUUUUGAUAAACAAAUAGUUGGUCGGGUGUUAGAGCAUCCUCUAAUGGUCUAUUUUUAAGGAACCUACUUUGAGUUUCAUAUACUACUAUUUUUAAGAGUAAUGAUAUUUGAGCAUCAAAAUUCUCUCAAGUUGGAUAACAUCAAAAAGUGGUAAAUGAGUUUUAUUAAAUGGCAAAUCUUUCAGAGAAUUCGAGUUUGAUUUUUCAUGAAGUGUUAAAACAAGGAUCUUCAUCUUUGAAUUUAUACAAUUUUGCCACUAUAAUUCUUUUUAUAUCAAAUUUUUAUCACUUUUUUUUUUUUUUUUUUUUGUCAAAAAAAAUAUUCUUUUAGUGGAGUAUCUUUACCAUUAAUCAUUUUAUUCCUCAAAUCUUGUUGCAAAUAAUCAAUUUAAUUCUUUGGUUUUCUUUGAUCAUUGUAAAAUUGAUAACAAUACAUAUGAUUACUCAAAUACUCCCUCUGUUUCAAAAUACAUGUCCAAAUCAACCACUUUACAUAUGCUAAUGCACAAUUUUGACCGUUAAUAUCUUUAAUUAUCUAAAGUAAAAAAUUAUAAAAAUUUAAUAUUUUGAAAAUAUUUAUCAAGACAAAUCAAAUAACAUCUUACAUGCUAAUAUUUGUAGAGUUUUUCUAUUUACCCCCCAUGUUUUUCUGGUUACACACAAAUUUUCUUAAUUUUUUUAUAAUACCAAAAUUGCCCUUUUAUAUAAAUUUUCUUAAAACCCUAAUUUUAUUCAUUGUCAGUGAGUUUCACCCUCUUUCACCCCACAAAGCGAUCGAUCAAACAAUUUGAUGUUCAAUAUCAAUCUCCAUAAAAAUUAAAGAGUGAAUCAAAAUAUUUUUCAUCCAUACUCAAUUGGAUAUAAGUAAGUGAAUUUCUUCUUCUAUUUGCUAGUUUCAAUUUUUUUCCUUCAACUGCAAUGAUGCACUGUACGAUUACGGUUUUAAUUUACAUUGGCAAGGUUAACUUAAAUUCAGUUUAAGUAGGUUCAUGUAAACUUAAAUUGAGUUUACAUGAACCUACUUAAACUGAGUUAACAUGAACCUACUUAAACUGAGUUUACAUGAACCUACUUAAACUGAUUUUUUACAAAAUCGCAGAACUGUGAAUCGCAGAACAAGGAAAACACAAAAUCAGAACUGAGAACCCAUAACAAGAAAAACACAAUCGAUUCAAGAACAACACUUGCUAACCUGAUUUGCUUCGAAUUUUCUUUGAAAUCAUGAAUGGACGUGAGAAAGUAUGGUUUUGAAAAUCUUCGCAGAACACAAUCGAUCGAUUGGAGAAUUAUGGUUUUGGAAGAAGGGUUUUGGGGUGUAACCAAAAAAGAAGGAAUAGGCUUUUUGAAAAUCAAAUUUUAUGAAAGGGUAAUCUUGUCAUUUUGGGGUGCAACCAUGAUUAACUAGGGUGCAAGUAGAAAAACUCAUAUUUGUAUUGAUACAUUAGUUAAAAAGUAUGGUCAAAGUAAGUCAAGUGAAUAAUGCACAUUGCAAAAAUUGGACAUGUAUUUUGAAAUGGAGGGAGUAGAAAGCAAUUUUCAUACAUUUUUUUUUUCCGACAGAAUCAAUUUCCAUAUAUUUAAUAACUCAUUCUAUUCCAAAAUACAUGUCGUAUUUUUAUUUAUUCAUAUAAAUUACUUUGACCUUAUUUUUUAAUCAAAAUAUAAAUAUAAAUGUUAAUAUGUAAAAUGUCGUUUUGACAAAAAAAUUCAUAAUAUUAAAUUUUUAAUUAAGUGUAUUAAUAAUUAAUUAAGUUUUUUUGAAGGAAUUAAAUUGUAUAUUGACAUCUGGUAAAGUGGUUCGGUGCGAUAUUUAUUUUGAACAUAGGGUGCAAAAUAACAAUAGCCUGUGGCAUGGCACGUUUAUUUCGAGGAAAUCGAAUGGAUAUUAUCCCAAUCCGUGUGAUGUGAGGCUGUGUUUUUUCUACCACCGUAAAGUACGUCUCUUGAAACAUCGUUUUCAUAUUGGAAACAUAUUCUGUAAAUUUCCAUUUCAAAACGACCUUCUAACAUUGUGAGAAUCGACAGAGAGAUGGAAGGAAUAGAGCACAGAAGAGUGGAAGUGAAUGGAAUCAAAAUGCAUAUUGCUGAGAAAGGUAAAGAAGGACCUGUUGUUUUGUUCCUUCACGGCUUUCCUGAACUCUGGUACUCUUGGCGCCACCAGAUUGCGGCUCUCGGCUCUCUCGGCUACCGCGCCGUAGCUCCGGAUCUACGUGGCUAUGGUGACACUGAGGCUCCAUCUUCAAUAAGCAGCUACACAGGUUUUCACAUUGUAGGUGAUCUGGUUGCACUUAUAGAUUUGCUUGGCGUUGAUCAAGUGUUUCUUGUAGCUCAUGAUUGGGGUGCCAUCAUUGGUUGGUACCUUUGCAUGUUUCGCCCUGAAAGAAUCAAAGCCUAUGUUUGUCUCAGUGUUCCAUUUACGCGUAGAAACCCUAAAAUCAGAACUGUUGAUGGCAUGCGUGCUGCUUAUGGAGAUGAUUAUUAUAUCUCUAGAUUUCAGGUUCUUCCUUUUCUGUAUUAUCUUAAAAUAUCAAGAUUUACUGUGUAUAGCCUAUAUGUUAAUACUAUAGUUGAGACUACAAUAUCACCCUUGAACUAUAUCUAUGAGUCAUACUCAAUGGUUCGUAAGUUGUUUUGAGUAACUUAAUAGAGCCUAAAUCAAAAUCGGAACAUUUAUGGUUGCUCAGUUAAUUCUAAAACCCAGCAUGACUCAAUCAAGAAUGAAUUAUUGUUCAUUCUAAGGAGUAAUAUUAAACAUGUUAGGGUCUACCUGUCAUAUUGCAGGUAUAAAUAAAGAAAUUAUAAGUUGUUUUCAGAAAUUGUUUUUUUAUCCGUUAUCACAGGAACCGGGCAAAAUGGAAGCUCAGAUGGCUGAAGUUGGCACUGCAUAUGUGAUGAAAAGUACCCUCACAACUCGGAAAACUGGUCCUCCAAUAUUUCCCAAGGGAGAGUUUGGAACUGGAUUCAACCCGGACACCCCUGACAAAUUGCCUUCUUGGCUCACAGAAGAUGAUCUUGCUUAUUUUGUUUCCAAAUUUGAGAAAACGGGCUUUGUUGGAGGAUUGAACUACUAUAGAAACUUGAACUUGUAAUCUUUUGAUUCUCUGUGGUGCCUCUGAUUGUUUGCCACAAAUCUAUAUUUACAUUUCUUUUGGGAAAACAUUUUAACAGUGUGACAAUAAUCUAAUCUCUAAUCUAUGUAACAUUGACAUUUCAGAUUGAAGAUGUGUCCAAUGUCCGACAUGUGUUGAUAUUUGACAUUGACACCGCCUUUUUUUUUGGGAGGACAUUGACGCCACAAUCACAUGUUACAUUUAGUCACUUCCAUUUUAAAUUAUUAUCAAUGUUUAUGUGUUAGUGUCGUGUUUUAUAUUUGUGUCAGGUGUUGUGUCCAAUGUCUCCGUGGUUCAUAAAGAGUGAUCUCAAUUCUAAUGACACAAACAUUAUUACUUGUAUUGCAGAAAUUGGGAGCUGAUGGCACCAUGGAAUGGAGUGAAAAUCAAGGUGCCUGUGAAAUUCAUUACAGGUGACUUAGACAUUGUAUACACCUCACCAAAGGUGAAGGAGUAUAUCCAUGGUGGAGGAUUCAAGGAAGAUGUGCCGAAUUUGGAAGAAGUGAUUGUCCAAAAAGGAGUGGCUCACUUCAACAAUCAAGAAGCAGCAGAGGAAAUCAGUAAUCACAUUUAUGAAUUCAUCAAGAAGUUCUGAGCUGACCUGAUGAUGAAAUAACGAUGCCGCUAAGUCUAUUACACGAUUCUUAGUAGUUGCAUGUGUUGUAUAUUUACAACAGUUGUUCACUUCUACUCUAUCCACUUAAUGCUAGAUAUGGAUCUAUCUGUUUGGUUCGAAGUAGCUCUCCACCAGGAUCUCCAAAAAGAUAUUGUACCUAAUAAUGAACAACAUUCAUAAUCCCGUUGUAGUAGAGUCUUUUGAAUAAACAGGGCCAGUGAAAAUUGACGCAUUAACCAUGCUCACAAAUUCAUAGUAGUGACGUGUUUAACAAUGAAUCUUUAGAAUUCUCACUUAUAAGGAAAGCAAUUGGUAAGGUUUGAGUAUGAUAGUAAUGUACCUAUAAUUGUUAUAAACGGAGCGAAGUAAAAGUCAUGACCAUAAGCGGCAGAGGCAUAGCUUAAAAGAGGCAGGUCACUUUUUUUAGUACAUUGUCGUUGGAAUAUCUACACUGUGUGGGAUACAUAAUUUCAUCAUAAUAAGGUUCAUCAACUUUAGAUACACCUCUGUAAUUGUAUUAUCCCAUCAUCUUCUACACCUUGAAAAUAUUGGUCUAAUUUCGUUGUUCCUUUUAUCAUACCAAAACUUGAACGAACACAUGGGGAAAAAAUAUUAAUUUUGCCGAAAAUUUGCACCCCGUACGGCCGUACCCAACUUCGUAUGUUACUGUGUUUAGUAGAUUCCAGGCUGACAUGCUUUUGAUACUUCCUUCUUAUUUUAUUAUGCUUUGGCUCUUUGAAAUUGAAGCUGGAUCUGUCACAUGUCUGUGUGCUUGGAUAUUGUUUCUUGCUCUGUGCAGCUUUCCAAGGUUUGUUUUAUGAUCUUUCUUAGAAAGCUCUCUUAGGGCGCAACAAAGAUGAUGGUGUCCGUCGCAGUGUUGUAUCUGGCAAG
rnacentral:lncRNA from 1 species